GCCACGGCGGCGACCACCACGACAAGGAGGGUCACGAGAAGAAGGACAAGAAGCAUGAGCACGGCGGCGACAGCAGCAGCAGCGACAGCGACAGCGACCGAGCCCCCCCUGGUUCGCACUCAGGCGAACGGCAUUGGAUCGGAGCGAGAGGGCGUGCCGGCUGACUUCAUCCUUAUCGUCUACUCAUAUCAUAUUAGCGGGAAAAGAGAAAAAAUAACAAUAGGAGUCUGUAUUUGCUGCUUUGCUUUUGGUCCGAUGACAUGCUGGACGUGCAACUACUUAUGUA